UACGAAGGGGGCUAGCGUUGUUCGGAUUUACUGGGCGUAAAGCGCACGUAGGCGGAUCGUUAAGUCGGGGGUGAAAUCCUGGAGCUCAACUCCAGAACUGCCUUCGAUACUGGCGAUCUUGAGUCCGGAAGAGGUGAGUGGAACUCCUAGUGUAGAGGUGGAAUUCGUAGAUAUUAGGAAGAACACCAGUGGCGAAGGCGGCUCACUGGUCCGGUACUGACGCUGAGGUGCGAAAGCUAGGGGAGCGAACGGG
rnacentral:rRNA from 1 species